UACGGAGGGUGCAAGCGUUAUCCGGAUUCACUGGGUUUAAAGGGUGCGUAGGCGGGCAGGUAAGUCCGUGGUGAAAUCUCUGAGCUUAACUCAGAAACUGCCAUGGAUACUAUUUGUCUUGAAUAUUGUGGAGGCAAGCGGAAUAUGUCAUGUAGCGGUGAAAUGCUUAGAUAUGACAUAGAACACCCAUUGCGAAGGUAGCUUGCUACACAAUGAUUGACGCUGAGGCACGAAAGCGUGGGGAUCAAACAGG
rnacentral:rRNA from 1 species